GACCGUGGAGUACUGAAAGUGAGGGACCUGGUGAGCCAAGGCUGAGGCCCUGCUUUAGGGUCCUGGGAGUGCUGAGUCCUCUACACCAGAAUUCCCACCCGGCGGUCGAGGACAUGGGUUCAGCACAGGUGUCAGCGUCAACAGCACAGGUGUCAGCGUGAACAGCACAGAUGUCAGCGUGAACAGGACAGGUGUCAGCGUGAACAGCACAGGUGUCAGCGUGAACAGGACAGGUGUCAGCGUGAACAGCACAGGUGUCAGCGUGAACAGGACAGGUGUCAGCGUGAACAGCACAGGUGUCAGCGUGAACAGGACAGGUGUCAGCGUGAACAGCACAGGUGUCAGCGUGAACAGGACAGGUGUCAGCUGCGAAAUGUUAACAGGUGCGUCAGCGCGGAACAGGACAGGUGUCAGUGUGAACAGCAGCCAGCCAGGUGUCAGUGUGAACAGGAUGACGAGGCUGAGCCAGGCCAGAUGUCUUGUUGAUCCCCGAGGUUUGGUCCAUCACCAGAGGAUGCUCAGCCCACAGCCUCCCUUAGUACAAAGACAGUCACCUCCACGGCACAACCCAUGUUUUUAGAGACAAGGUCUCACUCUGUGGCCCAGGCUGGAGUUCAGUGCCACGAUCAUAGCUCACUGCGUCUUUGGCCUCCAAGCCUCAGCCUCCCAGGUAGCUGGGACCACAGACACCUGCCACCACGCCUGGCUCCUGCAACUUUUAAAAACAAUUAUUUUUAUUUUUUGUAGGACAAGGUCUCACCAUGUUACCCAGGCUGGCCUCGAACUCCUGGGCUCAGGUGAUCCUCCUGCCUUGGGCUCCCAAAGUGCUGAGAUUGCAGGUGUGAGCCACCGUGUUCAGCCCUACUGCAACUUUUUAAAAAGUCAGUGGGAGCAAGUGGGUUCUUGGCCUCACAAAUGUGCUUGGGGUGGUUUUCCUUUAACUGGGAGGCUCUUGGAGGUUGCCUUAGUGAACUGGAUCCUGGCCCAGCCUGGAGAUGAACUGGAGAUCAGAGGUUGAUGAGGUCAUCCUGACUGUGGAUCAACCCCCCUGUCCCGACCUGCACCUCCCCAGCUAUUGGCCUGUCAGAGUCCAUCUGGACAUCCCAUGGGUGUCUGGGGCACCAUCACACUUUAUGGCCAAACAAGGGGGGAGUCCCACUGUCAGCUUCAGAAGGUGACUGACCCCCAUGUGUGACCCACUGUCCCUCUC
rnacentral:lncRNA from 1 species